AAUAUUGCACGAAUGGGGGCAACCCUGAUGCAGCGACGCCGCGUGGGUGAUGACGGCCUUCGGGUUGUAAAGCCCUUUGCCACUGAUGAGGAAGGACAGUAGGUGGCGAAUAAGCCUCGGCUAACUACGUGCC
rnacentral:rRNA from 1 species